UACGUAGGGGGCGAGCGUUGUCCGGAAUCACUGGGCGUAAAGCGUGCGUAGGCGGUUGCGUAAGUCUGAAGUGAAAGUCCAGGGCUCAACCUUGGGAUGGCUUUGGAAACUGCGUGACUUGAGUGCUGGAGAGGCAAGGGGAAUUCCACGUGUAGCGGUGAAAUGCGUAGAUAUGUGGAGGAAUACCAGUGGCGAAGGCGCCUUGCUGGACAGUGACUGACGCUGAGGCACGAAAGCGUGGGGAGCAAACAGG
rnacentral:rRNA from 1 species